AUUGAACGCUGGCGGCAGGCCUAACACAUGCCAGUCGAACGGUAACAGGAAGAAGCUUGCUUCUUUGCUGACGAGUGGCGGACGGGUGUGUAAUGUCUGGGAAACUGCCUGAUGGAGGGGGAUAACUACUGGAAACGGUAGCUAAUACCGCAUAACUUCGCAAGACCAAAGAGGGGGACCUUCGGGCCUCUUUCCAGCGGAUGUUCCCAGAUGGGAUUAGCUAGUAGGUGGGGUAACGGCUCACCUAGGCGACGAUCCCUAGCUGGUCUGAGAGGAUGACCAGCCACACUGGAACUGAGACACGGUCCAGACUCCUACGGGAGGCAGCAGUGGGGAAUAUUGCACAAUGGGCGAAAGCCUGAUGCAGCCAUGCCGCGUGUAUGAAGAAGGCCUUCGGGUUGUAAAGUACUUUCAGCGGGGAGGAAGGGAGUAAAGUUAAUACCUUUACUCAUUGACGUUACCCGCAGAAGAAGCACCGGCUAACUACGUG
rnacentral:rRNA from 1 species